CGGCGUGCCUAAUACAUGCAAGUCGAACGGUCUUUCUAUGGAAGCUUGCUUCCACUGAGAAGAUAGUGGCGAACGGGUGAGUAACAACGUGGGGUAACCUGCCCAUAAGAGGGGGAUAACAUCCGGAAACGGGUGCUAAUACCGCAUAGUUUUCUUGAUCGCAUGAUCGGGAAAGGAAAGACGGCCUUUGUGCUGUCGCUUAUGGAUGGACCCGCGGCGUAUUAGUUAGUUGGUGAGGUAACGGCUCACCAAGACGAUGAUACGUAGCCGACCUGAGAGGGUGAUCGGCCACAUUGGGACUGAGACACGGCCCAAACUCCUACGGGAGGCAGCAGUAGGGAAUCUUCCGCAAUGGACGAAAGUCUGACGGAGCAACGCCGCGUGAGUGAAAGAAGGUUUUCGGAUCGUAAAACUCUGUUGUCAGAGAAGAACAAGUUGGAGAGUAACUGCUCCAGCCUUGACGGUAUCUGACCAGAAAGCCACGGCUAACUACGUGCCAGCCGCCGC
rnacentral:rRNA from 1 species